AGUGUCAAAUUAUUCUUGUAUAAAAUGUUGGAAAAUUUGACUAAGUCUAUACAUUAUUUGAUGUUUUAAAAGCUGUGCCUCAUUCUGAUUCGUUAUUCUUAGCCUAUCCAUAUUGGCCCUGCUUUGGCAUUUAUAAAAUCAGACAAACUUCAGUUUCAAACCCAAGUUCACUUUGUAACUGUGUGAACUUGGACUAGUUACUUAGCUUCUCUAAGCUUCAAUUUCCUCCACUGUAAAAUAGAGAUGAUAAUAACUCUUUUAUGGGCUUGUAAGCAGGGAUAAAUGAGAUAGUGCCUAUAAAAGGUUCAGCACAGUGCCAGACAUGUAAAAAAAGAAAUUAUCAGUAAAGAAAUGCUUGUAUGCUAUUGUUACUAUUAUUGAACUUGAUUUAAAAUAUCUGUUUAAUGUUCUUUGAUUAUGAGAAGAGAACUGAAAGAGAAAUAAUGGAAAUCUGAAACAAGAGAAUGUCUACAAUCAUCAGCUGGCCAGAAAAGUGGUCAACUCCCUUGACAUGCAGCCAUCCGUUAUUUUGCCGAGAAGGGAAUUUGGUUCUUCCCAGACGUUAGGCUGAUGAGCUUAGCUGGUGAUGGAGGUUAGCAGCCAGUCUUCCAUCACCCUCUCCAAGCACGUCUGAGCUACCUACUUGUGAAAGAACCAGAAGGUGAACCUGAUCACUAAAGUAAGUACAUGUUAUGAAGAAAUUUUAUUUGCUAUCAUAGUUUUUCGUUUGUUUCAUUAAUUCAUUCAACAAUCUCAGCAGUCUUCUCAGUAAGAGACGCUGGAGACCGAACAAUGUACAAGAUAGUUAAGUCCCUGAUCAUAGAGCUUAUGUUCUGGUAGGAAAAACAAACAUUAAAAAGUUAACAAACCUGAAUUGGAAAAUGUUGUAUUAUUACAUAUUUUUACAACAAUGAAAAAUAAUUUUAAAAAAGUUAACGAAUUCAGUAAGUAUAAAACUUGAAAGAAAAAUUGAUAAAUGCUAGAAAGCAUAAUUCAUAGGGUCCCCCUAUAGAGAAUAGCAGAGGGAAAUUAUCGAUAGUUUGAUCAAAGAAGAACUCUCUGAGGAGGUGACAUUUAAGCUGAAACUGGAAGGGUGAGAAGGAUCCACAAAAUAGAGGGAAUAAUGUUUCAGCCAAGGGUACCGCAAGCACAAAGACCUUUACUCUGGAAGCACCUUGACCUGUUUACAGAACAGCAAGCGAGGGAAAGAGUAAAAUGAUAGUAGAUCUGAGAGAUCCUGCAGAGCCUUGAAGACAGUAGCAAAGAGUUUGGAUUAUAUUCUUAGUAAAAUUGGCAGUCAUUGAAAGGUUUUCAGCAGGGAGGUUCUAUGAUUUGAUUUACAUUAUUAGAAGCACUCAGACUUCUGUAUGGAGAAUGGAUUGAAUAAAAUCAGGCAAUCUGUAGCAUAGGUACAGCAAGUGAUGAUGAAGGUUGGUAUUAGGGUGGGUAAGUGGCUGUGGAAAUAGAAGUAAAUGGAUUUGAGACAUAUGCUGAGGCAGAAGAGCCAGAAUGAGCUGAUAAUUUGAAGUGAAGGGCAAGAACAAGAGGAAUCAAAAAUAACAUCUGCUUUUCUGUGUUUUGAGCAUUUGGGAAUUCACAAGAGCUUGCUUGUUUCCCUGGCCAACAUUUAAAGCCAAGAGUCCUGACACAUGUGUGUACACAUAUGCACUGUGGUCCAAUGAAUCACUUUUAUAUGGCCUUUCUAGUCAUGGUCUUGUAAUUCCCACAAAAUGAUUGGCUAGGACUAUGCAAAUUGAGCAACUUGUGGUCAAGCGAGGGGAUUGGUUAGUUUAUGGUCUUGGUGGGAGGACCAUGCUUUGAAAUUGACAAGGACUAGGCUUAUAUAAGGGUUGGUCCCACAGAGGUUGCGGGGGCCUUACUACUAUCAAGGAGAAGAGUCUGUAGCAGAGCACGUCCUUUGUACCAAGGACCUGGAGUCCCUGUGCUGAGAACUUCCUAGACCCAGGAGGAAGGACAAACACUGAAGAUGGUGCAAGAUGGUGGGAGACAGUGGCAUUGGACUUGCCAGCCCACAGAGUGAAAGCUGAGCACCUUGCAGGGAGUCUUGUUAAGUGGAGUUAAAAGAGCCAUAACGCUUGUACAGGGCAAGAGAGGCCUGCGUAUGCCUGAUGCAAGGGUUGCACACAUCCCCCGCUGGGCAGUGGGGCCUUAGGUAGCAUGGUGACAAGAGAGCAACACAGUUCUGGGUAGCGUGGCUAGAGCCGGCAGCAGAGGCCAGCAAGGCCCAGCAGCAAAGUGGAAGCCUCAGGAUCCAUGCAGGCCCCCAAGCAGAGGACAGCAGUGAUGUGAAGACAGCAUCUCAUAUCUGACCUGAACCUCAGCAUGCCUGUCUGGUGACAUAAGAUGCACACAGGUAAUUUGGGGAGGGUUAGCGUUUCCCCUUUGGGAACCUGUUGUUAUUGUUGACUGUUUGCUUUCUGUAAGUGUCUUGAA